rnacentral:rRNA from 1 species
UUAGGAAUUUUGCGCAAUGGGGGUAACCCUGACGCAGCAACGCCGCGUGAGUGAUGAAGGCCUUCGGGUUGUAAAGCUCUUUUAGCAGGAAAGAUAAUGACGGUACCUGCAGAAAAAGCACCGGCUAACUCCGUGCCAGCAGCCGCGGUAAUACGGAGGGUGCAAGCGUUAUUCGGAUUGACUGGGCGUAAAGCGCAUGUAGGUGGUUUACUAAGUCUGAUGUGAAAUCCCUGGACUCAAUCCAGGACCUGCAUUGGAUACUGGUGAACUAGAGUAUAGGAGAGGAAAGCGGAAUUCCAGGUGUAGAGGUGAAAUUCGUAGAUAUCUGGAGGAACAACAGAGGCGAAGGCGGCUUUCUGGACUAUAACUGACACUGAGAUGCGAAAGCGUGGGGAGCAAA